rnacentral:rRNA from 1 species
UAGGGAAUCUUCGGCAAUGGACGAAAGUCUGACCGAGCAACGCCGCGUGAGUGAAGAAGGUUUUCGGAUCGUAAAACUCUGUUGUUAGAGAAGAACAAGGACGUUAGUAACUGAACGUCCCCUGACGGUAUCUAACCAGAAAGCCACGGCUAACUACGUGCCAGCAGCCGCGGUAAUACGUAGGUGGCAAGCGUUGUCCGGAUUUAUUGGGCGUAAAGCGAGCGCAGGCGGUUUCUUAAGUCUGAUGUGAAAGCCCCCGGCUCAACCGGGGAGGGUCAUUGGAAACUGGGAGACUGGAGUGCAGAAGAGGAGAGUGGAAUUCCAUGUGUAGCGGUGAAAUGCGUAGAUAUAUGGAGGAAAACCAGUGGCGAAGGCGGCUCUCUGGUCUGUAACUGACGCUGAGGCUCGAAAGCGUGGGGAGCAAACAGG